UACGUAGGGUGCAAGCGUUGUCCGGAAUUAUUGGGCGUAAAGAGCUCGUAGGCGGUUUGUCGCGUCGAAUGUGAAAACCCGGGGCUCAACUCCGGGCCUGCAUUCGAUACGGGCAGACUAGAGUUCGGUAGGGGAGUCUGGAAUUCCUGGUGUAGCGGUGAAAUGCGCAGAUAUCAGGAGGAACACCGGUGGCGAAGGCGGGACUCUGGGCCGAUACUGACGCUGAGGAGCGAAAACAUGGGUAGCGAACAGG
rnacentral:rRNA from 1 species